rnacentral:rRNA from 1 species
UACGGGGGGAGCAAGCGUUGUUCGGAUUUACUGGGCGUAAAGGCGCGUAGGCGGCGUGACAAGUCACUUGUGAAAUCUCCGGGCUUAACUCGGAACGGUCAAGUGAUACUGUCGUGCUAGAGUACAGAAGGGCAACUGGAAUUCUCGGUGUAGCGGUGAAAUGCGUAGAUAUCGAGAGGAACACCUGCGGCGAAGCGGGUUGCUGGCUGAUACUGACGCUGAGGCGCGAAGCCAGGGAGCGAACGGG